rnacentral:rRNA from 1 species
CAACGCCGGGAAACUCACCAGAUAAGACAGCUGAAUGAUAGUCGGGCUGAAGACUCUACUUGACUAGCUGAGAGGAGGUGCAUGGCCGUCGUCAGUUCGUACUGUGAAGCAUCCUGUUAAGUCAGGCAACGAGCGAGACCCACGCCAACAGUUGCCAGCUCGUCCUCCGGGAUGGUGGGGACACUGUUGGGACCGCCUCUGCUAAAGAGAGGAAGGAAUGGGCAACGGUAGGUCAGCAUGCCCCGAAUUAUCUGGGCUACACGCGGGCUACAAUGGGUGGGACAAUGGGUAUCGACACCGAAAGGUGAAGGCAAUCUCCUAAACCCAUCCGUAGUUCGGAUUGUGGGCUGCAACUCGCCCACAUGAAGCUGGAAUCUGUAGUAAUCGUGUCUCAAAAUGGCACGGUGAAUAUGUCCCUGCUCCUU